UAAAUGUUUGAUUCUGGCUUAUAAUCUUUGUUAUAUUAUUAAGAUCGUAUGAAAAUUAUUUAUAAUAAAGUAAAAAUUAAUUUUAUAUUAAUAUAUCAUUAUCUGAAUAUAAGUGAAAUUAUAAUUAUUUGUAUUCUCAGCGUAAAAUUUUAGUCAAUAUAUGAAAAUAUGAGCUAGUAAAUAAUAAAUAAAUCUGAAAAAAUAUUUGUGCCAGCAUUCGCGGUUAAACUUUGAGAUUAAAUAAAGAGAGAUAGUAUUAAAGUUACUUGUAAAUGUAAGUAAAGAUUUUCAAAUAUUAAUAGGUGAAAUUAUUGUUAUUUUGCAAAUUUGAAUAUAUUUUAAAGGAAGCUAACAAGCUUUAAAGAUAAACUAGGAUUAGAUACCCUAUUAUAUUAAAGUUUAAUAAAUAAAUAUUGAAUUAUUAGUAGAUAUAACUUAAAACUUUAAGGAUUUGGCGGUAAUUUAGUCUUGUCAGAGGAACCUGUUUAAGUUAAUCGAUAAACCUCGUAGUAUCUUACUUAUUUUCAGUUUGUAUACCAUCAUUAUUAGAUAAUUUUUAAAGGAUAAAUUAUUAAAAUUAAGUUGUUAAAUAAAUUAGAUCAAGGUGCAGCUUAUAAAUAAGUUUAAAUGGGUUACAAUAAAUUUUAUUUAUAAUGGAAAAGAUUAGUAAUUUGAAUCUAGGAAGGAGGAUUUGAUAGUAAUAUGAGUUUAAUAAGCUUAUAAGAUAAGGGCUCUAAAUUAUGUACACAUCGCCCGUCGCUUUCAUUAAUUAAUGAGAUAAGUCGUAACAUAGUAGAUGUACUGGAAGGUGUAUCUAGAAUUAU
rnacentral:ncRNA from 1 species